rnacentral:rRNA from 1 species
AUUGAACGCUGGCGGCAGGCCUAACACAUGCAAGUCGAACGGUAGCACAGAGAGCUUGCUCUUGGGUGACGAGUGGCGGACGGGUGAGUAAUGUCUGGGAAACUGCCCGAUGGAGGGGGAUAACUACUGGAAACGGUAGCUAAUACCGCAUAACGUCUUCGGACCAAAGUGGGGGACCUUCGGGCCUCACACCAUCGGAUGUGCCCAGAUGGGAUUAGCUAGUAGGUGGGGUAAUGGCUCACCUAGGCGACGAUCCCUAGCUGGUCUGAGAGGAUGACCAGCCACACUGGAACUGAGACACGGUCCAGACUCCUACGGGAGGCAGCAGUGGGGAAUAUUGCACAAUGGGCGCAAGCCUGAUGCAGCCAUGCCGCGUGUAUGAAGAAGGCCUUCGGGUUGUAAAGUACUUUCAGCGGGGAGGAAGGCGAUGAGGUUAAUAACCGCAUCGAUUGACGUUACCCGCAGAAGAAGCACCGGCUAGCUCCGUGCCAGCCGCCGCCGUAA